rnacentral:rRNA from 1 species
AAUAGAUACCCUGUAGUCCACGCCGUAAACGAUGAGUGCUAAGUGUUAGAGGGUUUCCGCCCUUUAGUGCUGCAGCUAACGCAUUAAGCACUCCGCCUGGGGAGUACGGCCGCAAGGCUGAAACUCAAAGGAAUUGACGGGGGCCCGCACAAGCGGUGGAGCAUGUGGUUUAAUUCGAAGCAACGCGAAGAACCUUACCAGGUCUUGACAUCCUCUGCCAACCCUAGAGAUAGGGCGUUCCCCUUCGGGGGACAGAGUGACAGGUGGUGCAUGGUUGUCGUCAGCUCGUGUCGUGAGAUGUUGGGUUAAGUCCCGCAACGAGCGCAACCCUUGAUCUUAGUUGCCAGCAUUCAGUUGGGCACUCUAAGGUGACUGCCGGUGACAAACCGGAGGAAGGUGGGGAUGACGUCAAAUCAUCAUGCCCCUUAUGACCUGGGCUACACACGUGCUACAAUGGAUGGUACAAAGAGCUGCGAACCCGCGAGGGUAAGCCAAUCUCAUAAAGCCAUUCUCAGUUCGGAUUGUAGG